CAUCACCGUGUUCACCAACCCCACCCAAGUGGCCACUUACCACCGAGCAAUCAAGGUGACUGUGGAUGGACCCCGGGAGCCCAGACGGGCCCAAGCAGCAAGGGCAACAGUAUCUCCUCCAAGACCUGGCAGGGCUGAGGCUCAGCCCUGCGGCUCUCUCCUAGAGACUGCCUCCUGACGGGCAUCCUUUAAGCUUCCUCAGCGGCUGAGGUCACACAACCAAUCAGAGAAUGAAAUCAUUAAUUUGGUGGUUACAAACUAGCAGCCCUUGGGUAAGACAUGUCCUUCAAAAUGGUUGUUUGUUUGUUUUAUUCAGUAUUUGAAUUAAUUCCCAACAUUUCAGAUAAGGGAGAUGGCCCCUUCUGCAAGGCACACUCUCUCCAGUCUGCCCUAGUCCCCUCCCAUCCCAUGUACCUCGUCUGUGUGACUUGCUUGGUCCCACCAUGCAUCUGAGUUUGUGGCCCCAGCUCCAGCCAAACUUACCCGCAGCCCUUGUUUUCUCUGUUGCUAAGGUCCUCGAAGGCAGCAGCAGGGGACCUGGCGGGAGGCCAGGUGGUCUCCUGGCUGCCAAGUGUCCCAUGGAAGGGACAGGGCUUCCCUGGUUCUUCGUGACUUGCUGAGCCCGCUGUGGCUCCCAGGACUACCAGUUGCGUUUCUAAGGUGCCCAUUAGAGUUUGUGGCAGGGGUAUGUAGACAGCCUGGGGGUCUGGGUACCCAAAUCCAUUGCACCCCAUUAUGAAAUUCAGAAAUCAAGCCCAUUCCAAGGCCUCCAACUCUGUCCCCAUUCCCAGUGCUAGUCAAGUCAUUUCACACUUUUUCAGGCCCCCAGGAUGCCAUUUUCCAGACCUCAGGAAGGAUGGUGAGGAGUUCUAUUUUAUUUCCCACCUACUUUCUUCUCUCCUUGUCAGUCUAGAAAAUUCUGCCCAUCACUUCAGACCCAAGGACCCAGGCAAGCCUUCCCCUCUCCCUUAGCCCCUUCCCAUGCUGCUUUUCCAAGAAAUCCUAGGUCCAGGAAAUCCUUCCCCAUGCCUUCCUGUGUGACCUCAGGAAAGCCUCUUCACCUCUCUGAGCCACAGUUCUCCACCUGGCCUCCUCCCUCACGGGCACGUGGAGCAGAGCAGACCAGCAGAAUGGGUGUUAGGCUGAUUGGCAGAACUCUGCAAUGUCUGGCCUCUGAGUGAGCAGUCCAUUCUAGUGUCUGAGAGAAACACCCAGACAUGAGGCGGUGUGAGCAGCGAUGCUCCUGGGAGUACUGCGCGUGAGGGAGUCCCGGAGAUGCGGGAACAACCUAGGCAUCCAUUGGAGAGGAACGGCCGAGUGAGCUGGGGCAUCAGCGGAUGUGACAGGCAGAGCGAGGCCGUCAGCCAGCAACGCCGUGCGACCUUCCUCACCUCACUGAGCUUCACUCGGCCCCAGGGAGGGCUCCCAAGGUUGUGCAGGAGCUGCUGUUUCUAGGGGGGUGAGGCUAGGUUCCUCUCCCCAUUUUACAGAUCAGCAAACUGAGGUGGCCCUCCAGGGAAUGCUGCUGAGAAAGCAAGUUACAGAAUGACAGAAACAGGCGGAAACCAUUCAAGAAAGUUCCAUGAGAAACUUGUGUGUUCCAAUCAUGUGAAACCAAAAAAAGGCCAGAACGCAA